rnacentral:rRNA from 1 species
AUUGAACGCUGGCGGCAGGCCUAACACAUGCAAGUCGAGCGGAUGAAGGGAGCUUGCUCCUGGAUUCAGCGGCGGACGGGUGAGUAAUGCCUAGGAAUCUGCCUGGUAGUGGGGGAUAACGUCCGGAAACGGGCGCUAAUACCGCAUACGUCCUGAGGGAGAAAGUGGGGGAUCUUCGGACCUCACGCUAUCAGAUGAGCCUAGUUCGGAUUAGCUAGUUGGUGGGGUAAAGGCCUACCAAGGCGACGAUCCGUAACUGGUCUGAGAGGAUGAUCAGUCACAAUGGAACUGAGAAACGGUCCAGACUCCUACGGGAGGCAGCAGUGGGGAAUAUUGGACAAUGGGCGAAAGCCUGAUCCAGCCAUGCCGGGUGUGUGAAGAAGGUCUUCGGAUUGUAAAGCACUUUAAGUGGGGAGGAAGGGCAGGAAGUUAAUACCUUGCUGUUUUGACGUUACCAACAGAAUAAGCACCGGCUAACUUCGU